rnacentral:rRNA from 1 species
GACGAACGCUGGCGGCGUGCUUAACACAUGCAAGUCGAACGGAAAGGCCUCUUUCGGGGGGUACUCGAGUGGCGAACGGGUGAGUAACACGUGAGUAACCUGCCCUUGACUUUGGGAUAACUUCAGGAAACUGGGGCUAAUACCGGAUAGGAGCUCCUGCUGCAUGGCGGGGGUUGGAAAGUUUCGGCGGUUGGGGAUGGACUCGCGGCUUAUCCGCUUGUUGGUGGGGUAGUGGCUUACCAAGGCUUUGACGGGUAGCCGGCCUGAGAGGGUGACCGGCCACAUUGGGACUGAGAUACGGCCCAGACUCCUACGGGAGGCAGCAGUGGGGAAUAUUGCACAAUGGGUGGAAGCCUGAUGCAGCAACGCCGUGUGCGGGAUGACGGCCUUCGGGUUGUAAACCGCUUUCGCUCAUGACGAAGCUUUGUGUGACGGUAGUGGGUAAAGAAGCACCGGCUAACUACGUG